AUUGAACGCUGGCGGCAUGCUUAACACAUGCAAGUCGAACGGAAACGACAAGAGCUUGCUCUUGGGCGUCGAGUGGCGGACGGGCGAGUAACGCGUGGGAAUCUACCCAGUAGUGGGGGACAAGCCAGGGGAACUUGGUCUAAUACCGCAUAUCCUUUUAAGGAAAGAUGGCCUCUACUUGUAAGCUGUUGCUACUGGAUGAGCCCGCGUUAGAUUAGCUAGUUGGUGGGGUAAAGGCCUACCAAGGCAACGAUCUAUAGCUGGUCUGAGAGGAUGAUCAGCCACAUCGGGACUGAGACACGGCCCGGACUCCUACGGGAGGCAGCAGUGGGGAAUAUUGGACAAUGGGCGCAAGCCUGAUCCAGCAAUGCCGCGUGUGUGAAGAAGGCCUGAGGGUUGUAAAGCACUUUCAAUUGUGAGGAAGGGGUUAAGCUUAAUACGCUUGACUCUUGACGUUAACUUUAGAAGAAGCACCGGCUAACUCUGUGCCAGCAGCCGCGGUAAUACAGAGGGUGCAAGCGUUAAUCGGAAUUACUGGGCGUAAAGCGCGCGUAGGCGGCUAAUUAAGUCGGAUGUGAAAGCCCUGGGCUCAACCUAGGAACUGCAUCUGAUACUGGUUAGCUAGAGUUUAGGAGAGGGGAGUGGAAUUUCGGGUGUAGCGGUGAAAUGCAUAGAGAUCCGAAGGAAUACCAGUGGCGAAGGCGACUCCCUGGCCUAGAACUGACGCUGAGGUGCGAAAGCGUGGGUAGCAAACGGGAUUAGAUACCCUGGUAGUCCACGCAGUAAACGAUGAAUGUUAGUCGUUGGAGUGCUAGACACUUCAGUGAUGCAGUUAACACAUUAAACAUUCCGCCUGGGGAGUACGGUCGCAAGAUUAAAACUCAAAGGAAUAGACGGGGACCCGCACAAGUGGUGGAGCAUGUGGUUUAAUUCGAAGAUACGCGAAGAACCUUACCUAGCCUUGACAUAUUAUAGAAUUCACCAGAGAUGGAGAAGUGCCUUCGGGAACUAUAUUACAGGUGCUGCACGGCUGUCGUCAGCUCGUGUCGUGAGAUGUUGGGUUAAGUCCCGCAACGAGCGCAACCCUCGUCACUAGUUACUAACGAUUCGGUCGAGGACUCUAGUGAGACUGCCUUCGUAAGGAGGAGGAAGGUGAGGACGACGUCAAGUCAUCAUGGCCCUUACGGCUAGGGCAACACACGUGCUACAAUGGUUAGGACAAUGAGAAGCAAUAUCGCGAGGUGGAGCAAAUCUAUAAACCUAAUCUCAGUUCGGAUUGUAGUCUGCAACUCGACUACAUGAAGCUGGAAUCACUAGUAAUCGUAGAUCAGCUAUGCUACGGUGAAUACGUUCCCGGGUCUUGUACUCACCGCCCGUCACACCAUGGGAGUUGAUUUCACCCGAAGCGGGGAAGCUAAAUUGGCUACCCUCCACGGUGGAAUUAGCGACUGGGGUG
rnacentral:rRNA from 1 species